rnacentral:rRNA from 1 species
GACAGAGGGUGCAAACGUUGUUCGGAAUUACUGGGCGUAAAGCGCGUGUAGGCGGUCUAGCAAGUCGGAUGUGAAAGCCCUUGGCUCAACUGAGGAAGUGCAUUCGAAACUGCAAGACUUGAGUCCCGGGAGAGGAUGGUGGAAUUCUCGGUGUAGAGGUGAAAUCCGUAGAUAUUCGGAGGAACACCAGUGGCGAAGGCGGCUUUCUGGACCAAUACUGACGCUGAGACGCGAAAGCGUGGGGAGCAAACAGGAUUAGAAACCCUAGUAGU